rnacentral:rRNA from 1 species
GGAGGAUGCCUUGGCUCUCAGAGACGAUGAAGGACGUGUUAAGCUGCGAAAAGCUACAGGGAGCUGCACAAAAGCUUUGAUCUGUAGAUAUCCGAAUGGGGCAACCCACUUAGUUGAAGACUAAGUAUUCGCCGUAAGGCGGAGGUGAACCCGGAGAACUGAAACAUCUAAGUACCCGGAGGAAGAGAAAACAAUAGUGAUUCCCAGAGUAGUGGCGAGCGAAAUGGGAUUAGCCCAAACCAGUAUAGUUACGGCUAUAUUGGGGUUGUAGGACUACAAUAUCGAUAUAAAAAUGAAUUGGAAUGGCAUGGGAAGGCCAACCAUAGGGGGUGAGAGUCCCGUACAGGUAAGUUUUUAUAGAGUAGUAGUAUCCUGAGUAGGGCGGGACAUGUGAAAUCCUGUCUGAAUCUGCCAGAACCAUCUGGUAAGGCUAAAUACUCCUGAGAGACCGAUAGCGAACGAGUACUGUGAAGGAAAGGUGAAAAGAACCCUGAACAAGGGAGUGAAAAAGACCCUGAAACCGUGUGUCUACAAGCGGUCGGAGCCUACGGGCGACGGCGUGCCUUUUGCAUAAUGAUCCUACGAGUUACUCCUCAUUGGCAAGGUUAAGAUUUUAAGGAUCGAAUCCGAAGCGAAAGCGAGUCUGAAUAGGGCGUUUUGUCAGUGGCGGUAGACGCGAAACCAGGUGAACUACCCAUGAGCAGGUUGAAGCGCGGGUAAGACUGCGUGGAGGACCGAACCCACUUAUGUUGAAAAAUGAGGGGAUGAGCUGUGGAUAGGAGUGAAAGGCUAA